rnacentral:rRNA from 1 species
UACGUAGGGGGCGAGCGUUGUCCGGAGUUACUGGGCGUAAAGGGCAUGCAGACGGUCGGACGCGUUUCGGGUGACAGCGGGUGGCUUAACUACCCGAGUGGUCGAAAGACGGUUUGACUUGAGGACGCGAGAGGGACACGGAAUUCCGGGUGGAGUGGUGAAAUGCGUAGAGAUCCGGAGGAACACCGAAGGCGAAGGCAGUGUCCUGGCGCGUAACUGACGCUGAGGUGCGAAAGCCAGGGAGCGAACGGG